rnacentral:rRNA from 1 species
AACGAACGCUGGCGGCAUGCCUAACACAUGCAAGUCGAACGAGACCUUCGGGUCUAGUGGCGCACGGGUGCGUAACGCGUGGGAACCUGCCCUUAGGUUCGGAAUAACUCCCCGAAAGGGGUGCUAAUACCGGAUAAUGUCUUCGGACCGAAGAUUUAUCGCCUUUGGAUGGGCCCGCGUUGGAUUAGCUAGUUGGUAGGGUAAAAGCCUACCAAGGCGACGAUCCAUAGCUGGUCUGAGAGGAUGAUCAGCCACACUGGGACUGAGACACGGCCCAGACUCCUACGGGAAGCAGCAGUUGGGAAUAUUGGACAAUGGGCGAAAGCCUGAUCCAGCAAUGCCGCGUGAGUGAUGAAGGCCUUAGGGUUGUAAAGCUCUUUUACCCGGGAUGAUAAUGACAGUACCGGGAGAAUAAGCUCCGGCUAACUCCGUG